UUUAGGGCUUCGCUCGUAUGUUACCUCAGCCUGUGGAUCGGAGAACGCUGAGGCUGUGCAGAACAGGGGGAAGGUGUGCUGAGAGCCCCUUAAACAAAAGGAGAAGGAAGACUGGGAAAAAGUUGCUCACAAAAACAUAAACACACACAUAGAACAGUAGACUAAACCACAGGCACACAGUGAAGAUUGGAGCGAGACAGGCAGUUAAACAGACAGGCAAAAAAGACAGAGGAAUUCAUAA